GAUGAACGCUGGCGGCGUGCCUAAUACAUGCAAGUCGAGCGAACGGACGAGAAGCUUGCUUCUCUGAUGUUAGCGGCGGACGGGUGAGUAACACGUGGAUAACCUACCUAUAAGACUGGGAUAACUUCGGGAAACCGGAGCUAAUACCGGAUAAUAUUUUGAACCGCAUGGUUCAAAAGUGAAAGACGGUCUUGCUGUCACUUAUAGAUGGAUCCGCGCUGCAUUAGCUAGUUGGUAAGGUAACGGCUUACCAAGGCAACGAUGCAUAGCCGACCUGAGAGGGGGAUAGGCCACACUGGAACUGAGACACGGUCCAGACUCCUACGGGAGGCAGCAGGAGGGAAUCUUCCGCAAUGGGCGAAAGCCUGACGGAGCAACGCCGCGUGGGUGAUGAAGGUCUUCGGAUCGUAAAACUCUGUUAUGAGGGAAGAACAUAUGUGUAAGUAACUGUGCACAUCUUGACGGUACCUAAUCAGAAAGCCACGGCUAACUACGU
rnacentral:rRNA from 1 species